GACGAACGCUGGCGGCGUGCCUAAUACAUGCAAGUCGAACGAAGAUCUAGCUUGCUAGAUCUUAGUGGCGAACGGGUGAGUAAUACAUAAAUAAUCUGCCCAUAUGACUGGGAUAACUAUUGGAAACGAUAGCUAAUACCGGAUAGGUUGAUUGGAGGCAUCUCUGAUUAAUUAAAGUAGGAUUUCUACACAAAUGGAUGAGUUUAUGGCGCAUUAGUUAGUUGGUGGGGUAACGGCCUACCAAGACGAGGAUGCGUAGCCGACCUGAGAGGGUGACCGGCCACACUGGGACUGAGACACGGCCCAGACUCCUACGGGAGGCAGCAGUAGGGAAUUUUCGGCAAUGGGCGCAAGCCUGACCGAGCAACGCCGCGUGAGUGAUUAAGGCCUUCGGGUUGUAAAGCUCUGUUGUAAGGGAAGAACAUUCAGGAUAGGAAAUGAUCUUGAACUGACGGUACCUUACCAGAAAGCCACGGCUAACUACGUGCCAGCAGCCGCCGUAA
rnacentral:rRNA from 1 species